UGUGACGAGCAGAGAUGAUAGAACAAAAUGGAACCGACGAUAAAUUGCCAGAAACAACUAGCUAGCAAAUUCGUAGUUGCCAGAAUGUUCUAGUCGCGAACUUUUGUUAAAGAUCUACUAUAAAAGGUUUGCUAGAUUGUUUAUUUUGGUGUCGCCAAUUGCGUUCACAUGAGCGAGACAAGUCUGACAACUUUAGUCAAACAAUUUUCUGCAUUUUUUCUUCAUUUUUGACUACCUAAUUUUAAUCCACAUUCACCGUUUACUAAAAUAUUUCUGUUAUAAAAAUUGAUAAAAACAUUCAAAUUUCCGAUAUAAUUAAUGUAAAUAUUUACUUGAAACGGAGAGCUUUGCAACCAUGAAACAAAUUUCAAAAUGAAAAGGAAUGUCGAAUUUCGAAGCAGCGAACAAGAACACAAAGCGUACCACCCGAGUACGAGUGGCACGGUCCUUCGUUUUUUAUCGUCGUCCCCACGUAUACAAAAAGCCGGUUUGGACGACAAAAGAGUCCGUGUGUAAACUGGCACUAACAACACUUACAAAACUUCGCCGAACUCGAACAUUUACUGUCUAGUUAAUUCUUGCAAUUUAUCGUUGAUUCUAUUCGCGAUAUUUAUUUAUUAUACAUUGUUUACCAUCGACGUUAUUGAGUGGUCCUAUGAAUAUGAAAUGUUAUUCUGAUAAUGAUUUUGAAAUUUCAAUUAGUAAAAUACAAAUUGUUAAAAGAUGUUGUAUUUGUCAGGAGCAUUCUUCAUCACUUACUUUAGUGGACAAAUCAUACAUUGGAACACCACCUAUUUUAACAAGUGAUUUACUGCUACAAUGUUUUGAUUCAAUGGAUAAAUUUCACUUAAUACUUGGACAGCAGCCUUCAAAUAACUUCAUAUGUCAGUCAUGUGAAAAGCUCCUUGUAGAAUUUUAUAACGCCAUGAAAAUAGUUACGAUUAAACGAAAUAAGUUCCUUAAUCGAGUUCAGGAUAAAAAUAAAGCAACAGAUGGAGUAGAAUACUUUGUAAUUAUUGAAUCUCCAAAAAUAAAUGCAAACUCGCAUCACCCAACAACAAACCAUGUAAAGGAUCAUGAACCAAAUUCACAUCCUUCAGAAGACGAGUUUGUUACAAUUAUUGAAUCAGAUGAUGAAUAUUUUACUUUAAAUACCUCAGAAGACGAAUUUGUUAAAGUUAAUCAACCAGCCGAAGAAUUUGAAGAUGAAUGGUCAUCAGAUUGUUCAAUCAACUCAGACGCUCAAGAAACUCCAGGACAAAUGCGAAAAUCAUUGAUUACUAUUGAACGUAUGCCAAAAACAAAGCUUAGAUUUUGUUGGCGUUGUGAUAAAAACUUUACAUCGGAUGAUGCUUUUGAAAUUCAUUUGAAACUAGCUCACACGAAAGGUAAAAAAACUGUUUACUCGUGCCAACAAUGUCAAAAAAGUUUUGCAUCCGAAGACGAACAUAAUGCACAUUUGUCCGAAGUUCAUUAUUCUGAUCAGUUACGUUGUAAAAUUUGUGGUGCUACGUUUGACUCAUCCGUACAUUUGAAUGCACAUAAAAUGGCCCACGAGAAGUUUAAGUGUUCUAUAUGUUUAAAAAUGAUGUUAACUCAUAGAAUGCUUCAACGUCAUAUGUUGGUACAUCGUAUGGACAAAAAACACCAAUGUUCAGAAUGCGACAACAUAUAUACAUCAAAGAAGUUUCUACAAAAGCACAUGUUGGUUCAUAAAGAUGCUCGAAGCUUCGUAUGUCAGGUUUGUGAAUUUAAAUUUAGGAACGCAUGGAAUUUAAAACGCCAUCAAAAGCUACAUUGCCUUGGUGAUAUAAGUAGGAAGCUUGGAGAUAUUAGAGCGCAUACUUAAGUUUUUAAUAUUAAAAAUUGUUACAUUUUUUAUAAUAAACUUGGUCAAACAAAAUAAAAAACUAAAAACAAACAAUUGAUCUAAUUUGUACGUAAGUGUAUUAUAUAGGCAGACAGUAACAUACUCGUUCCCAAAGUGGAGUAACCUUGUUACACCAGAAUUCAUGUUCAACCUCAACCCCUAGAGUUAAUAAAUUUACUUUGGGCUUUCAAAUGUCUAAAAUCGUAUCAAACAAAAUUUGUCAAAAGUUAGUUAGUUUAAGGAUAUUUCAAAUAUAUUCAAUUUUAUUUCUUAAUUACUACAAAAUAUCGAGACUGGCGUUGCAAGAGAGCAAUCAGCUGACUUGUGUCUACGGGAAAAAUCCAAUACUCACGUAUAUCCUACCGUAUGGACUGUAAGCGGUGUUCAUUUACAUUGCGCUCUUAUAAGCAUGGAUAACAUGAUACGAAACUCUUUGAAUCGAGAGAGCGCUAUCAAAGUUCGAUUUUUUUUAUAACAUUUGACAGUGGUGCCGCUUAGGAAAGAAAUAAGUUUUGAGAUUUUUUAAUGUAUUUCUUGAUUAUUUUUACUUGGUACUGCUAAGCAAAACAAUACUCUGCGGCAAAACACCCGCUCUUUCUUAAAAACAAAACUAUAAUUAAUCUCUUUAAAUGAAGAUUAAAAACAUACGUAAAAGUCACUAAAAAAUCUGAUCUCACAAAUAACCCACUGAUUUGACAAUUUGUUUCUGCUUUAUUUUAGUUUUGGUUGUCAUCUGUUCAGUAGCUCAUGAACUUUCAGUGCUGCCAAAAAACCAUGAGAUCAUGCGCUCUCUCAGAAAGCAAAGAGAGAAGUUUCGAAUCAUAUUAUCCAUGCUCAUAAGAUAGGUCGUAUCAGCUAAUUCGGUCUACUGUUUUGCGGCGGUAACUGUUUCCAGCAUUAUACACAAAAUAGGAAGUGAUGUUCAUGAUGAAUAUAAUUUUUUUUUUUCUUGGCAGUAUCGACAAGGAUGACGUAUCGAAGAUUGAUCAGAUUGAGAGUUCCCUAGUGAUUUAAUAUAUGAUUCAAUAAAAUAUCAUUAUAACGUUAUAAAAUUAUCAAAUCGUCUACCAUAUUUUGUUAAAUUAAAGAUACAUUUCAGGCCCAACGUAGCCUGUGUGAGUGAAUGUCAGGUAUAUUCUCUACAAUGGAUGGUUGUCCGAGGCUACAAAAGGCAUGUUUCUUUCGGAAAUUGGAGAUAUUCGUCUAUACAACUCGAAUUCGGCGGAACCAACACUUUCAAAUAAUAUACAUUCGUAUCUUAUCAAUGCAGGACUGCCAGUUUUUAUGGACAGGCUUUGUAAUUAUUGUCUAGUAAUGCUGAUAAAAAUGCCUACAUAAAUUAGAUAUGCGUAUUUAUUUGCGGACAUGGAAAUGAACUCAGUUCCCAGUUAUGUUAAAUUAUAUUUCUUUAUCUUUAUUUAUUUGUAUUUUUUCAAACAAAGUUUUCGAUGACACUCGACAUUUUUUUUUACCGUUACUUAAAAAAAUAUCGUAAUUCUUCAAUUUUUACUUGUGAGUCAGUUGUAUAGCCUAUCCACUAAUAAAUUUAUAGAAG